rnacentral:rRNA from 1 species
CGGGUGAGUAACGCGUGAGGAACCUGCCUCAAAGAGGGGGACAACAGUUGGAAACGACUGCUAAUACCGCAUAAGCCCACGGCUCGGCAUCGAGCAGAGGGAAAAGGAGCAAUCCGCUUUGAGAUGGCCUCGCGUCCGAUUAGCUAGUUGGUGAGGUAACGGCCCACCAAGGCAACGAUCGGUAGCCGACCUGAGAGGGUGACCGGCCACAUUGGGACUGAGACACGGCCCAG